AUACUGUUAUCUAGGAAUUGAUGCAAAACAAGGAGGUGGUCCAAACACUCCUGAACUUUCUGGCAAGUCUUAUUUCAAAACUUUCUGCAAUCAGGAGUAUGACCUGGCAGCCGAUGGGAAUAGCAACUGAGCAUUCAGCAGCAGCUCUCCAAAUUUCUCAGGCACAGCUUUUCUGACACUUCUUUUUUAUCAACUUGAGAGCUAUCAUGCCUUCAAAAGAGCAUGGGCCACACAUGGAUUUAAAAUGCCGAAAGGUAACAUUGAAAAAAUUGAUUUCUUCCCAGUCCCAUACUGCAGCUUCAGACACACGCAGAACAUACAGUGCAUCCGUACAGGCUUCAGCAGCGCCCUCACAAUACAAAGACACACAGUCUGAACUGUGCCAGUGCUGCCUUGAGGGUAGUCCAAGGAGAUGACUGAGAAAUAGAGUUGCACUGUUUUGCAGCUCCUGGUUUCUGGAGACCAGCCAGGCCUUGGCAUACUCAAAAGCAGUUAGGGAAAACAAAACAAAACAAAGAGCAGGUCAAUGUAACAUUGCUGAGAGCCUGGCACAGGCCAUUUAUUGUCUGAAUUAACCUUUCACACCAUUUUUUAUAAAGUUGUUGUUGCCCUACUGAAACAGCAUCAUUUUUUCUCUUCUUUUUGAGCAGAUUCAGAGACUGAGUGUUUCCUGAGGCCAGGCCAAAAACAAAGAGAAAGGAAAACAAGAAUGUUUUCCUGGAGGCCAAGGAGAGUCCUUCAGCUUUGUACGUCUGGCCUUGAGGGCUCAAUGCUGCUGGUAGCAGCUGAGGUUACUCCAGCAAUGGUUGCAGUGAAUGUCAUGUUUGCAAUGGAGAUUCUUCCCUUACUUGAAGGCAGCAAAGAGGAUGUCACUGGAUAGGAAGAAACAACAAAAGGAAUUCCCACCAACCUGCGGGCUGGUCACAGAGUCUGUACAGAGUUUAAAAGCAGAGAAUUUUCACAAAUAAAAACAGCAGCAAAGAAA